rnacentral:lncRNA from 1 species
GCAUUGAAGAAAACUCUCCAAGUUAGCAAUCUGAGUCCACUUCUCACUGUUGAACAACUAAAACAACUCUUUGGCUUCUGUGGCACAGUUGUUGAAUGCACAAUUGCUGAUUCAAAGCAUUUUGCUUAUAUAGAAUAUUCAAAACCUGAAGAGGCAACUGCUGCUCUGGCGUUAAAUAACAUAGAUGUUGGUGGCCGGCCUUUGAAUGUUGAGAUGGCAAAAUCUCUUCCGUAAAAAUCAUCUGUUGUGAAUUCUUCCCUUGCUUCGUCAUCUCUUCCUUUGAUGAUGCAGCAAGCUGUGGCAAUGCAGCAGAUGCAAUUCCAGCAAGCUCUGAUUAUGCAACAAACCAUGACUGCACAGCAGGCUGCCAAUAAAGCCGCCACCAUGAAGUCUGCAACAGAGUUAGCGGCAGCCCGAGCUGCUGAAAUAAGUAAGAAACUGAAAGCCGAUGGACCUGAAAUUGAAGAGAAAGAAACAAAACAGAAAUCCAGGUCUGUUUACUUUGUCAAUUUUUCCUAGUGUUAUUGUUCUACUGGUGCAUCUUGACUAUUCAUUUUCAAUGUUUUUAUUGUUGCAACUUGCAACUAAUUCAUUUUAGGGUGCCCUACAUAAGUAUCAUGAACCCAUUAGAAUAAUGCAUGAAAUAGAUUUAUAAGUUUGGUAAAGGUGCCUAAGGUUUUUGUCAUUUUGAUGUUUUAGGGGGGAAAAAAUCAUAAUCUUGUCCCCAUUUCAAAAGUUCCCAUUCGUUGGUAUAUGUUUUACUAUACUUAAUAGUUUUGGGUUUAGUGUGAGUGCAAUGCAUCCUUUGCUUUUUUAUCUUUAUAUAUAUAUAUAUAUAUAUAUUACACAAUUGCCUUUGUAUUAUAGAAGCUUGCAGUUUUAUGUGCGAUAGCUGUGAGGUUGAGUAGCAUAUCUCUUUAUUGUGAAUAUGCAUUCUCAUCAAUCUUAAGGGUUCCCCCCACAAUGUGUGCAAUUAUUGUGCAUAGUGUUUUAAAAUUGUUGCAUGUUGAUCUGUCUUUAAAAUAUAUGGCUGAAUGGUUGUGGAACAAGGAAAGUUUAGAUUGUGGUGACAAAAUCUUGUUUUUAUAUUUUUUUUUUUUUUGUCCUUCAUUUUCAUGUGCUAACAAAGGUCUUUAAUUCAUUAAUUCAAUUUCAAUUUUCAGGUCUCCUUCUCCUCCUCGUGCAAGAUCUCGAUCAAAGUCAAGAUCUCCUGUUAGUUAUCGAAGAAGGAGGAGGUCUCGUUCCUACUCUCCUGCUCGCUACAAUAGGGGUCGUCGGUCCAGAUCACCAGUCAGGUCCCAUCAUUAUUCAAGCUAUGAAAGGGAUCGAAGGUCCUAUAGAGACAUCAGAGAACACAGUGAAAGAAGCAGAAGACAGGAUUCAGAUAGAUACCUUGAUCGGCAUUCAUUUGCUUCAAGAAGGAAUAGGAGUAGGAGCGUGAGCCCUCAUUCAAGGAAAUCACAUUGAACUGGAUCUAUUUCUCCAAAACAUCACAGAGAAAGUUCACCUCAUAGAGGAAGGAAAGAAUCACGUGCUGAUUCUGGAUCCCCAAGUCAUCGCAGAGGUAGUAAGUCAUCUCCCAAGAUUGAUAAAAUCAAACAAAAGAGCGUACCCUCUUAAUUUUAUUUCCAUGCUUUUUCGCGGUUUUAAUUCUCCAAAUCUUUGGAAUCUGAUUUUGAAUCUUGAUACCUUGACGUAAUGCCGUUUUUCAUCUCUUCCUUUCUGUAACAUUUUCGCAUUCGGCAUCAGAUUCAACCUGUUCCUAUAUAUUCUUUAUCCAGGAAGCCCUUUUAUUAUGCCACUUCUAUUUAUUUGUUUGUUUUAUGUUUUAACCUAGUUCUAGGGUUUUUCCUUUGAUAGUUUGUGUUAACGGGAGCUGAGUGUGCUUCAAUUGAGCACUUCAAUUGAAGAUUUCCUUCACCGAUUGGGCAUUUAUAGGAGAUUUGCUACUUCUUGUUUUCGGUAUCAGGUAGGGUUGAUGGCUGAUCGGAGUUCGGCCGUUGCAAAGCCGGUAUGGAUGAAGCAAGCCGAGGAGGCCAAGCUGAAGAGCGAAGCCGAGAAAGCCGCGGCAGCUAAAGCUGCUUUCGAAGCGACCUUCAAGGAUUUGGAGAAGAGUCGCGAGAAGGGCACUGUUCAAUCUGACAGUGAAUCCGAGGAAUACGAGGAUUUGGCCAAUAAGCCUAUUGGACCUGUGGAUCCUUCCAAGUGCACGGCGGCGGGUACUGGCAUUGCCGGCGGAACAGCCUGUGCUCCUUCUUCGUUCACAGUGGUCACCAAGGAUUCAGAUGAGAGGAAGGUUUCAGGUGGGGGUGCACAAGUCAAGGUGAGGGUGACGCCAGGUUUGGGCGUUGGAGGGUCUGAUCAAGAAGGGAUUGUGAAGGAUAUGGGUGAUGGAACGUAUAACGUCACUUAUGUGGUGCCCAAGAGAGGGAAUUACAUGGUCAGUGUUGAAUGUAAUGGCAAGGCAAUCAUGGGUAGUCCAUUCCCUGUGUUUUUCAGUGCAGGUAUUCACCAUUACUCUGCCGCAAAAUUCUCUGCAUUAUUUAGAUAUAUAUGAUGCCAUGUGUGGUUUUGAAUUUCUCCUGAAGUCCUAGUUAACGGUUCUGAUCACAGUUCUAACAUAUAGGUAUUGUAAAAUUUAAAAUUUUGGUUACAAUUGGAUAGUGUCAUAAUACAGUAAAUGUCACCAAAUAUAAUUGGUACCACUUGAGUAUCAUUUGUAUUUUCAUAAAUCGAACAGCGGUGGUAUUUUUGUAUUAUUAAAAACAGCAUGGCAGUGAUAUUGUUGGAUCUUAACAUAUUUAAAUUUGAUGAGAGAAACUACAAGGAAAAUAAAAUUUCAAAACUAAAUCAGAGCCAAAAAGGACGGAAAAGAUUACACCUAUUUAAGUUCUCUAUCUCACUUUAUCCUUCUUCUUUCCCCCCAUUAAUGGAACAUAAUAAGUUUACUUUCCUUCUUGGUUGGGCUAUUCAGAAAGAGACAGAGUUGAACUUGUUAAUUUUCAAUUUUCAAUGCUUUGACAGUUUGGUUUGUUAUAUUGCAGGAAAUAGUAGUGGAGGGCUGCUCGGUUUAGCUCCGGCAUCUUCUUUUCCAAAUCUUGUUAAUCAAACUAUGCCAAACAUGCCGAACUACUCUGGGUCCGUUUCAGGGGCAUUCCCAGGAUUACUGGGAAUGAUUCCAGGGAUUGUUGCUGGAGCUUCUGGGGGUGCUAUUUUACCUGGAAUUGGGGCCUCACUAGGGGAAGUUUGCCGUGAUUAUCUUAAUGGGCGAUGUAUAAAAGUCGAUUGUAAGUUGAAUCACCCACCUCAUAAUUUGCUAAUGACUGCAUUAGCUGCAACGACCUCAAUGGGAACACUUAGCCAAGCUCCUAUGGCUCCGUCUGCUGCUGCAAUGGCUGCUGCACAGGCAAUAGUCGCUGCCCAAGCACUUCAAGCCCAUGCAGCUCAGGUGCAAGCUCAGUCAGUAAAAGAUUCCACUGGUAUGUUGUGGCGUGUUAAUUUUGUUUGUUGCUGUGUUUGGUAUUACAGAGCUCUUAUACAAGAAGUGCUCUCUGUUGGUGACUUUUUGUCAUGUUUGGUAGUUACCUUUUUUUUGUUCUUCUUGUUUUCCGUUUAAGUAUUUCUUGCUGUAUUCUUAUCAUCUAUGGUAACUUAAUCAGGCUCACCUGAAAAAGCUGGUAAGGAUGAUGCAUUGAAGAAAACUCUCCAAGUUAGCAAUCUGAGUCCACUUCUCACUGUUGAACAACUAAAACAACUCUUUGGCUUCUGUGGCACAGUUGUUGAAUGCACAAUUGCUGAUUCAAAGCAUUUUGCUUAUAUAGAAUAUUCAAAACCUGAAGAGGCAACUGCUGCUCUGGCGUUAAAUAACAUAGAUGUUGGUGGCCGGCCUUUGAAUGUUGAGAUGGCAAAAUCUCUUCCGCAAAAACCAUCUGUUGUGAAUUCUUCCCUUGCUUCGUCAUCUCUUCCUUUGAUGAUGCAGCAA